GUACUGAUGAAGAGUCCCAAAACUAGAACGAAACAGAUGUCCAGUAC
rnacentral:hammerhead_ribozyme from 1 species